rnacentral:tRNA from 1 species
GGAGAGGUGGCUGAGCGGUCGAAAGCGGCGGUCUUGAAAACCGUUGAGGGUAACCCCCUCCCAGGGUUCGAAUCCCUGUCUCUCCUCCA